AUUCUGGGAGAUACAAUUCAAGUUGAUAUUUGGGUGGGGACACAGCAAAACCAUAUCAUUGGGUCUGCAUUUCUUUUAAGGCUGUUUCUCUAUAGGCCUGGGGGAUUCCUAUGCACAUGUCCUAGAGUAACAUGUUUAUAAUUAAACAGUUGCUUUGUUCUCCUCCCUUGAAAAAAGUCCAUAUUUGCAGAGAGUACCAGAGUUUCUAAACCAGAAAAGGCUGUAGAGAGGAUAAUUAGUCUCAAAGAGUUGCAAAUUUCUGUGGUUUUGAGCACAAGCCUUUGGCUGGGUGUUGGUCUGGGAACAGGGGAUGCUUAUUUUUAAGACACAAAUUCAGUGUUUAAUUUUUGGGAAUAUGAAAGAGUAGAAUGUUUACUGGGGAAGGGAUUUGAAACCUUUUGUAGGCAUUUUGAGUUUUGCAGAUAAAGGCAAUCUACACUGCUGUUCUUAGGCAAAGUAGUUCUGCAAGCAGCUCUCACAGGACUAAAGAGCCGCUCCCCAAUGUGUAGCCAUUAUUCUGUAUAAUUAUGGAUAUUUUCCCUUCCAAAAAUAUUUUUUUUCUAGAAGCUGCUGUUUCAAAGGCUUUCAAUUCUGUGUGUCAUUAUCAAAUAAUCUUUUUUGUACUCGGGUGUUUAUUAUUGGAUUGCAACAACGAUAAAGCUCUAGGGGUUUUUGUCUCCUUUGGUAUGCUAAUUAGUCAGUUUCCUUUUGAUCUUUUUCUCACUGAAAAGAGUGAAAAGCUAUCUCGGUGAGGAAUCUUAGUGCUGUACAUUCAUUUCCUCAUCUCCAUAAUCUGAGGAUCAGAGGAAGACAACAAUUUUACUGCUGAAUGAGAGCUACUAGAGGCUUUAGUUGGAGCUCACUGCUGCCAAAUAGUCCCACUGGCACCUGACCUGGAGUUGGGCACCAAGGAAGAAGACGCAAAGGGGGAAAAAGGCACAAAUAUUUUAUGUAGCAGAGUGAGCUCAGUUGCUUUUAUUUUUUCUUGAAGCAUUCAAUCCAUGCAAAUCUAUGUCAUUUUGCCUAAUUUUUGACUUUUAGAUUUAUUUAUCCUAUUGAUAUAUUUUCAGUGACAACAACUGAAUACUUAGUUGGAAGAAAAUGGCCUGAAUAGUGUGAAGAAAUAUGCUGCCGACAAAAUCCGUUGGAGGAUAAACUGCCUUUCAAAAGACACAGUAAAUUCACAUAUGCAGAGUAACAGGGGAAAAUGCCAUGGCUCUUAUGGGCUGGAGGCACAUGUAUUAGAUUAUGUUUGGGAAUGGAUGGGAAGAAGUAAGUUAGUAGAUUCUUCAUUUGAUUGUUUAUUGGUCUACUGUGGUUGUGAAGAUUUACCUUUUUAGUAAGAUCUAAGGACUUAGGACACAGUCUGGGAAGUUGAGUGGGAAAUUUCAUCAUUAAUAUCAUCACUUAACAUCUAUUCAGAAUGCACUAAAAGGGCAGCAUUGCAUUACAAGGACCAAGCAAGUUGAUAUUUAAAUACUACUGUCACAGGCCUACACCCAGCUCCUACAGACACACAUUCACAAACAUAUGCACACAUUUUUGGUUAAGCUACAGGAAAUCACUGUUUUUGCAAGUAAAAAGUAUUUUCAGAUGGUUCAAUGGAACACAAUUUACUGUUUGGGAGGUGUGAUCAGGGUAAUCAAGUUUUAUUUAUUUAUUUUUUAAAAAGUGCUCAUACAUCCAAAAGAGUAUUGCCUCCUUUAAAACUGUACCAGGUGGUCUAAUUCCAAAUAUACUGCCAUGGCUGUGGACAUUUUUAGAAUAGUCUUAAACCUGAAGUGUUUCAUUUCCUCAAUGUUUAGAAACCCUUCGAAGAUGGGUUUGAAUUUUGGAAAUAAAGGAAAGCCAUCAAAAUCACCUCUUGUAUGUAAAAACACUUUAUACUGUAUAAAACUGCUGAAUGAGAACUACUAUUUUGAGUGUUCUUUUAAAUAAGCAAAAUUUGAAUGCAAUGGUUUCCUUGGGUGCCAUAGCAACCACCAGUGCCUUACAAUUUUUGACUCAAAAGAUACUUUGAGGUCAUCUGGUUGAACAAUCCUUAAACUUUAUCAAACUUAAAAAUUCUCAGAGGAAUUGCAAGCGCAGUUUUGAGCACCUUGCCAUGAAGAUUCUGAUUUAUUAGACUUAGAAAUGACCUGGAAAUGUAUGCUUUUACUAAGUUUGUCAGGUGAUUCCAAUGCAGGAGGUGGUCAACCAUACUUGGAAUGGCUGCUCUUAUCUAUAGAGAUAGAUGCUGAAAUUCAGUGACCCGCUGGGAAUUAUUCCACUACACAGAAGCUGGUCCAGAGCAGAAUGCCAGGCUCCCGGAUUCCCAGGAAAGCCUUCAGAAGGGACUUCUUGGCUUUGAAACAUAAUCUGGUACUUAACAGAUAUGUGGCAUCCAACCAUUUUUAAAACCAUUUUUAAAGCCCAUGUUUUCUCAUAUGUAAAAUGAGGAUAAUUCUGAUAUGAAGCUCACAAUGUUGUGUCCUGCAAAUUGCUUACAAUAGUGUCUGGUAGAUAGUAAUUGCUCAAUAAACAUCACUCACUCUACGUUUAUCUAAAGAAUUUUAUUAUGGCUCUUUGUAUUUAUUUCCUUUUCCGUACUUGUCAAUUUUUAUGAUUUCUCCUCUGCACUUUCACCCUCCUUCUUUUUACAGGCAUCUCAUCUUGACAUUCCUUCCCCAUGACUUUGAUCCCACCUUGAUUCCUGGUACUGCCACUAGACUAGAGAGUCACUGAAAGGUACAAGCUGAGUCAUUUCUCUCCCAUGUCACUGUUGGAAGAAACAAAGAUAAUUUGUAUGGAAAGUAAUGUGCAUGAUUUCAGUCUCCUGUAAAUGAAGGAAGCUUCCACAAUGAAGUCAAGCACCUGGAGGAGAAGGAUGCUGAUAAAUGCAUCGCUCAGCAUGGACACACUUGGGAAAGGCCGAAUUUCCUUGGGCAUCCUUCUAAUUUCCCCUUGGUUUCUCUAAAGGAGAGGACCACAUGUCAUGGAAAACAUCCACAUAUUGACUCAUCCUGGAUAAAGUUCAUGUGAACUAGAGAGUUUUGCCAUAUUCAUCCAGUCAUUCAUUCAUUUGCCAUGGGGAUGCAGUGGAGUUUCAAGUGUAGCUAAGGUGAAAUCCAUGGGAAAAACAGUUUUUAUUCACUCCCUGGAGUUAGAGAAGCCAUACCGAGAAACUUCGAGGCCUACGAAGCGCUGCUUUUAACAGUCCCAAUUUUGUGAUGAUAGCAUACUUUUCUGAGAUUUAAAAAUAUCAAGAUUAUUUUUGAUAAUGCCUGCCAGUUAUCCUUAAUAUUUAGCAGACAUUUGGAUGUGUGUGGUAGUAUGUGCUAGUAUCAAACAAGACUUCGAUUUAUAGGACUUGAUUGCUACUAGAUAGUGAGCACAACAUCCAACUGGUGACUGAGCUGAAGCUUACUAGGUACCCUCAUUUCAUCAUGUGAGUACCAGGUAACAGGUAUUCUGAAAAGGAUCUCUCUUCACUGAGCUCCCUCCCAGCUUGUUAAUUGUGUGUGUGUGUGUGUGUGUGUGUGUGUGUGUGUGAGAAAAGAGAGAGAGAGAGAAUAUGUAUGGGUGACUAUGUAUGUGAACAUGAGUGAGUUUGUGCAUAAUGGGUGUGAACGUGCAUAUUAUGUGAGUGUACAUGGGGGUGCCUGUGUGUGUGAAUGUCUGUCUUCAGAAUGUUCAUAAUGUAGAUCAUCAUAGGCCUCUUGAUGCCCUGCAGAGAACUGAGAGACUCUUCUGGAGAAAGUUAUUCAAAUUAUAGAGCCGUUGAGUAAUUCUAGUAACCCAGCACAUUCCUAAAUGUACUUUUGAAAAGGGGUUUAUUGAAUAGAAAUAGACCCUUUUCAAUAAGCUUUAGGUUCUAUCAUACUAUGAGGCAACAUUUGGACAGUGUCCAUGGUAAUCUGUGCAGCAGUCCAUGCUGCAUUCAUUUUAAAUUGGUCUUUUUAAGAAUAGCAUUAAAUGGCUGCUCAUAAACAGGACUGAGCAAUUUCUGAGUGGGAGAAGAUUCCUCAGUUCUUUACCCAUGUGAUCUGUAACACUGAUGUGGGUGUAGAACAUUUCUGCACAGAAUAUCAUUAUACGUCACAUGGGGAUAUUUUAGAAUAAAUAUUUUCAUUUUUUUUUCUCAAGAAAAAAAUGUGUUUAUUGCUAAAAUCCUUUUGGAAAAUGAACCAAAAGGAUAGAUUAUUGUUUUCCAUUUUUCUUACAAAAUUAUUCUCUGAAUUGUCCCCAUUCCAGCUCCUUUUAGGUGUCGUGACAUCAAAGGCUGAUUUCAUAAUGGCUGUGUUCUUGUGUGCUUCCCUAAUUUCAGACUGGGUCUUCAUGACAUACCGUGGGACUGUAUAUCUGCAAAGGUCAGAAAACAGCUUCCCUUCAGGCUCAUAUGAAAUGCUUAAAGAUGUCAGUGUAAUAUAAGCACAGGAAGUGUGGUGUGCAAACUCUGGACUGAUUAAUACUAUUUACUAUGAUACUACUUCUGGUCAUUGCUGCAGAAAUGAGAUACAUCAGACCCUACCUGAAAAGAAGCAUCUGGAGCCACUGGCUUCCAUUGUCUUCCAUGCUUUUGAUUUCUUAUUUGCUGGUGUACAAAGAUUCUGUGAUUGGGUAGACAAUUCAGGUUAGUUUUACAAAUAUUUAUCAAAUGUAUAUGCAAGACUCUGUAUUAGGUGUGUGGGGGCUGGGGAAGUGGAGGCAAUAGCAUUAUGGCCAAAGAUAAACAAGAAUCUGUCUUUGUCUACAAGAAUCUUAACAUUUCGAAGGGGAAAUGCUGACUUAUAAACAAGAAGGAAUGAAAAUACUUUUAUAGUAGAAGCAUAAGCACAGUGCUCUGGCAACCUAGAGAAAAGGAAAGCUUUAGAAAGGCCAAUUUCUUUUGAGCUGUAAAAAUCCUUACAAACUGGAACUCAUUACUUCUAGCUUGAUAUAUAUUCUCUGGGGCUGUAAUAUGAAUAGAUCCAGCUUCAUUUCACAUGUAUAUUUCAAAAUUGCCUCUGGUUUUGGAUAUUUGUGGCAAAGCAUUUUAUAGACUGUGCUGGUUCCAAAGGCAGGUAGUAUGUAGUUAAAUAGUUAUGAGAAGGCAAAGUAGUUUAGAAAAACCAACUUUUUAAAGUCUCCUUUGUUUGGAUGACUUUAUCUUAUAUGCUGUCUCAGACAUCAAUACUUUCAACUGUGGCUCAGAAGUUUUGCUCAUCCAUUAAUUUCCCUUCUUAUUAAAGAUUGUAUUUUCUUAACCUGGAAUACAUGGAUGAGCUUUAGGGAACCUAUGUACUCAUUGUAAGUAUAUGCAAAAGAUCUCUCUGUGUACAUUUUUUUUU